rnacentral:rRNA from 1 species
GAUUAAGUUAUUAAGGGCGCACGGUGGAUGCCUUGGCACUAGAAGCCGAUGAAGGACGUUACUAACGACGAUAUGCUUUGGGGAGCUGUAAGUAAGCUUUGAUCCAGAGAUUUCCGAAUGGGGAAACCCAGCAUGAGUUAUGUCAUGUUAUCGAUAUGUGAAUACAUAGCAUAUCAGAAGGCACACCCGGAGAACUGAAACAUCUUAGUACCCGGAGGAAGAGAAAGAAAAUUCGAUUCCCUUAGUAGCGGCGAGCGAAACGGGAAGAGCCCAAACCAACAAGCUUGCUUGUUGGGGUUGUAGGACACUCUAUACGGAGUUACAAAGGACGACAUUAGACGAAUCAUCUGGAAAGAUGAAUCAAAGAAGGUAAUAAUCCUGUAGUCGAAAAUGUUGUCUCUCUUGAGUGGAUCCUGAGUACGACGGAGCACGUGAAAUUCCGUCGGAAUCUGGGAGGACCAUCUCCUAAGGCUAAAUACUCUCUAGUGACCGAUAGUGAACCAGUACCGUGAGGGAAAGGUGAAAAGCACCCCGGAAGGGGAGUGAAAUAGAACCUGAAACCGUGUGCUUACAAGUAGUCAGAGCCCGUUAAUGGGUGAUGGCGUGCCUUUUGUAGAAUGAACCGGCGAGUUACGAUUUGAUGCAAGGUUAAGCAGUAAAUGUGGAGCCGUAGCGAAAGCGAGUCUGAAUAGGGCGUUUAGUAUUUGGUCGUAGACCCGAAACCAGGUGAUCUACCCUUGGUCAGGUUGAAGUUCAGGUAACACUGAAUGGAGGACCGAACCGACUUACGUUGAAAAGUGAGCGGAUGAACUGAGGGUAGCGGAGAAAUUCCAAUCGAACCUGGAGAUAGCUGGUUCUCUCCGAAAUAGCUUUAGGGCUAGCCUCAAGUGAUGAUUAUUGGAGGUAGAGCACUGUUUGGACGAGGGGCCCCUCUCGGGUUACCGAAUUCAGACAAACUCCGAAUGCCAAUUAAUUUAACUUGGGAGUCAGAACAUGGGUGAUAAGGUCCGUGUUCGAAAGGGAAACAGCCCAGACCACCAGCUAAGGUCCCAAAAUAUAUGUUAAGUGGAAAAGGAUGUGGCGUUGCCCAGACAACUAGGAUGUUGGCUUAGAAGCAGCCAUCAUUUAAAGAGUGCGUAAUAGCUCACUAGUCGAGUGACACUGCGCCGAAAAUGUACCGGGGCUAAACAUAUUACCGAAGCUGUGGAUUGUCCUUUGGACAAUGGUAGGAGAGCGUUCUAAGGGCGUUGAAGCAUGAUCGUAAGGACAUGUGGAGCGCUUAGAAGUGAGAAUGCCGGUGUGAGUAGCGAAAGACGGGUGAGAAUCCCGUCCACCGAUUGACUAAGGUUUCCAGAGGAAGGCUCGUCCGCUCUGGGUUAGUCGGGUCCUAAGCUGAGGCCGACAGGCGUAGGCGAUGGAUAACAGGUUGAUAUUCCUGUACCACCUAUAAUCGUUUUAAUCGAUGGGGGGACGCAGUAGGAUAGGCGAAGCGUGCGAUUGGAUUGCACGUCUAAGCAGUAAGGCUGAGUAUUAGGCAAAUCCGGUACUCGUUAAGGCUGAGCUGUGAUGGGGAGAAGACAUUGUGUCUUCGAGUCGUUGAUUUCACACUGCCGAGAAAAGCCUCUAGAUAGAAAAUAGGUGCCCGUACCGCAAACCGACACAGGUAGUCAAGAUGAGAAUUCUAAGGUGAGCGAGCGAACUCUCGUUAAGGAACUCGGCAAAAUGACCCCGUAACUUCGGGAGAAGGGGUGCUCUUUAGGGUUAACGCCCAGAAGAGCCGCAGUGAAUAGGCCCAAGCGACUGUUUAUCAAAAACACAGGUCUCUGCUAAACCGUAAGGUGAUGUAUAGGGGCUGACGCCUGCCCGGUGCUGGAAGGUUAAGAGGAGUGGUUAGCUUCUGCGAAGCUACGAAUCGAAGCCCCAGUAAACGGCGGCCGUAACUAUAACGGUCCUAAGGUAGCGAAAUUCCUUGUCGGGUAAGUUCCGACCCGCACGAAAGGCGUAACGAUUUGGGCACUGUCUCAACGAGAGACUCGGUGAAAUCAUAGUACCUGUGAAGAUGCAGGUUACCCGCGACAGGACGGAAAGACCCCGUGGAGCUUUACUGUAGCCUGAUAUUGAAAUUCGGCACAGCUUGUACAGGAUAGGUAGGAGCCUUUGAAACGUGAGCGCUAGCUUACGUGGAGGCGCUGGUGGGAUACUACCCUAGCUGUGUUGGCUUUCUAACCCGCACCACUUAUCGUGGUGGGAGACAGUGUCAGGCGGGCAGUUUGACUGGGGCGGUCGCCUCCUAAAAGGUAACGGAGGCGCUCAAAGGUUCCCUCAGAAUGGUUGGAAAUCAUUCAUAGAGUGUAAAGGCAUAAGGGAGCUUGACUGCGAGACCUACAAGUCGAGCAGGGUCGAAAGACGGACUUAGUGAUCCGGUGGUUCCGCAUGGAAGGGCCAUCGCUCAACGGAUAAAAGCUACCCCGGGGAUAACAGGCUUAUCUCCCCCAAGAGUUCACAUCGACGGGGAGGUUUGGCACCUCGAUGUCGGCUCAUCGCAUCCUGGGGCUGUAGUCGGUCCCAAGGGUUGGGCUGUUCGCCCAUUAAAGCGGUACGCGAGCUGGGUUCAGAACGUCGUGAGACAGUUCGGUCCCUAUCCGUCGUGGGCGUAGGAAAUUUGAGAGGAGCUGUCCUUAGUACGAGAGGACCGGGAUGGACAUACCUCUGGUGUACCAGUUGUCGUGCCAACGGCAUAGCUGGGUAGCUAUGUGUGGACGGGAUAAGUGCUGAAAGCAUCUAAGCAUGAAACCCCCCUCAAGAUGAGAUUUCCCAACUUCGGUUAUAAGAUCCCUCAAAGAUGAUGAGGUUAAUAGGUUCGAGGUGGAAGCAUGGUGACAUGUGGAGCUGACGAAUACUAAUCGAUCGAAGACUUAAUCAA